rnacentral:lncRNA from 1 species
UAUUCGAUCCCAAUAUUUCACCAAUAUAGAACCUGGUAGUUUUUGAAAUUAGCAAGGAUGUGCUUGAUUUGUUCUGCAGCCCCUGUCAUAAAAAGAUUUUACUCUCUCUGGUCUCUGUUCUUCAAGUUUGCCUUUGAUUGAUUUCAUGUAAUCUUUGAUGUACUUCUUGUAGGCUUCUUUUGUGAAGCUGGUUUCCUGCAGGUGAUGGUUCAUGACAAUAUCAACACCAGUGAUCACUGUGCUUUCGGUACCUUCGCCCUCCGGGCCUUCGGCGGAGGCAUUCCCACCGAUGAGCGAAUCAUCAAUGUUACCCUCUGUCCUACUGACCAUGGCUGAUGAGGUCCCGGUAGAUAAUCAUGAUGGCGGCUGGUAGGAGACGACAGCGGCGGCGCUAGCUUGGCAGGAGCCCGGAGCUCAGAGCGAGCGCGGUGCAGCC